GUAGGGAAUAUUGGGCAAUGGAGGCAACUCUGACCCAGCCAUGCCGCGUGCAGGAUGACGGCCCUCUGGGUUGUAAACUGCUUUUAUACGGGAAGAAAAAAUACUACGUGUAGUAUACUGACGGUACCGUAAGAAUAAGGAUCGGCUAACUCCGUGCCAGCAGCCGCGGUAAUACGGAGGAUCCAAGCGUUGUCCGGAUUUAUUGGGUUUACAGGGUGCGUAGGCGGAUCUUUAAGUCAGUGGUGAAAGCCUGCAGCUUAACUGUAGAAUUGCCAUUGAAACUGCAGAUCUUGAAUGUGGUUAAAGUAGGCGGAAUGUAUCAUGUAGCGGUGAAAUGCUUAGAUAUGAUACAGAACACCGAUAGCGAAGGCAGCUUGCUGAACCAUUAUUGACGCUGAGGCACGAAAGCGUGGGGAGCGAACAGGAUUAGAAACCCGUGUAGUCC
rnacentral:rRNA from 1 species